AUGGAUCCGAACGUCUCUGACUCCACGUUACAGAAGACUUCGCCAAACAAGGAUCCAGUGGGGUUUUCUGAGGAACUCAGGCCAGGUAUGGACCCAGCUGAGCAGCUGCUUGAGCUGCGGCAGGGAAAUUAUUCAAUCGAGGAUUAUGUUGCCCAGUUUUGUGAGCUGUCCUACCGGGUAUCCUUUGGGGACAUAAUGCUCAAGGACAUGUUUCGUUUUGGACUAAAUGAAUCGAUUAAGUCCUGGCUACCUAAGGGGAAGUUCGAGUGCAGUCUAGGGGAUUUUGUGGAAUAUGCUUUACUGUUGGCGGAUUCUAAGUUUACUGUGGGUGUUGUGGAGGAGGAACCCCACAGUCCUGCAGUAUCUCCCACUCUAGGAGGUCUGCACAAGAUGGCCGCCAGCCCAGCGCCACUGCACAAGAUAGCAGCCACAGGUGAUAGUCAAGCGCAAAGUCAAGUCACCGUUGAUCUUCCAGAGUCAGGUCAGGUCACCGGUGAUCUUCACAAAUCAAGUCAAGUCACUACUGAGCUUCCAGAGCCUGGUCAUGUCUCAGCUGAUCAUCCAGAGCCUCAUCUCAUCCUGUCUGUUGCGCCAAGCAAUGUUCUCUCAGCCUGUUGUGUUGCUGUCAAGGAGACGGUUACUGCUGUGGAACCUCCAGAGGUGGCGGCAACUGCUGCAGAACCUUCGGAGGUGUCAGUAGUAUCCAUUCACAAACUCACGGCCUGUCCUGUCACGGCCACAGAGGCCGUCAUUAACCUGUUUAUGUUCUCUGUUUCAGUCCUACCUGACCAAACUUGCUCUCCUGUGGCUCCUUCUCCUAAAUGCCCUCCCUCCCACCCGCUCCUGCCUCCUCCACCGCUGUCAUCUGGCAGUCCCUCUGCUCGCCCUCAGUCCAUCAUCAUUGCUGUGCGAGCUCCGCGGGACUUCCAUCCUUCAGCAUGGCUGGAGACUCCCUCACCUACACCUUCAGCCUCCAAGGCCUGGACUCCGCCUCGGCCUGUUGACCCGUCGGCUCCACCAUGGCUCCUAGCUCCCACCUCUCCGCCGUGGCCUGGCAGUCCACAAGCUCUGCCUGGCUCCCUUGUCCCUCCGGCUCCGCCUUGGGCUGGCGUUGUCCAUCCUACGCCUCAAUACUCCACUCCUCUGGCUUCGCCUCAUCCCUCCGUACCUACGUACCUCCGGCUCCUUCAUCCCCUCGGCUCCACCUCAGUCCUCUGUCGCUCUGGCUCCACCGCGGCCUUCCAGAUCCACAUCUCCGCGUCAGUCGCCAGAGUCAUCUGUUCCACCUAG
ensembl:lncRNA